rnacentral:sRNA from 14 species
GUUAUUGGUACAUCCAUACAAUUACCUGUGUGGGGUAAUAAUUGUGGUGAAUCAUAGAAUUGACA